GUUGGUGUUGAUUGCGGUGAGGGUCCACCCGUUCCCAUCCCGAACACGGAAGUUAAGCUCACCUGCGCCGAAAAUACUUGUCUGGAGACGGACUGGGAAGAUAGGUAACGCCGACA
rnacentral:rRNA from 1 species